rnacentral:sRNA from 1 species
ACAUAUGUUCUGUUACAGCCCAAAACAUGAGGCAUUCAUGUUGGGAACACCAAAAAACAAAGGGAACAACAAGGAUUUUGAGCUUCUGAUCACAACGGCCCCAAUCCCGGAUCUGAAUGAUCAACUUAUAGUGUUUGGAAGAGUCCUUAAGGGAGAGGAUGUAGUACAGGUUUGAUCCAACUAAGCACAGUCUAUCAGCUUGAAUGGUUUGUUUAAUAGU